rnacentral:lncRNA from 1 species
UAUUACCAGACGAUGUGAGAUUCUAAAGGUGGCUCCUACGGGUUCAAGAGGUGGCUCCCAUCAAACCUAUUGGUGUAGCACUUUAUUCUCACACUUCCGGCUGGUAUUCGUUUCUGAUAUCAUUUGCAACAAUCCAACCCGCCAGCAAUAAUAACACGUCGGGUCCAAACCACCGGCCCAAAAUGCUUAAGUCCAGUUAUUAUUAUUAGGGUGUAGGUCUCAUAUAAAUUGAUCGGAAUCAGUAUCCCAUUCAAUAUGGGACUAUUGGGGGCGUUACAACUUUAACAAUGGAGAUGGGCAAAAGGGUUACUCUACACCCAUCUCUCAGUAAAAGUGUCCUUUGUCCUUUCACUGCACACAUGAUCUCUCUCUCUCUCUCUCUCUCUAAAAGAAGCUUCACGUGCAUGCCCAUCCAGCUCAACAACACGUCGCUUUGCUAUUCAGAAUCCUACACCAUAUAUGCACAUCAUUUUAUCCUACUACAUUAUAAUUGAACAGUAACAUCUCCUCUUCUUCUUCUAUAUAAACCCCCUCUAUAUAUCUCACCAACUUAUAAUUGAACAGUAACAUCUUCUCUUCUUCUACUUCUAUAUAAACCCCCAACAAUCAAAUACAAUUAAUUCCCAAGAAAAACCUACCUAUAUAUAUUCUAAGUUCUUAUACAUAUAUACAUAUAUAUGUCAUGGCUCCGAUCUUUCUAUGCUUCCUUCUCUUUCUCCUCCCAACUCCGAACACCGCGACGCAGGACUUCUGCGUCGGGGACCUGACGGCCCCUGACACCCCCUCCGGAUACCCCUGCAAGAAGGUGUCUGCCGUCACCGUCGACGACUUUGUGUUCUCUGGCCUCGGCGUGCCCGGGAACACGUCGAACCUCAUCAAGGCCGCCGUCACCCCCGCCUUCGUCAGCACGUUUCCCGGCGUCAAUGGGCUCGGUAUAUAUAUAUAGAGAACAAAAAUUUGGUGGCACGGUUCUCAGCGUAGACUAUUUAAUUCAUAGUUCAUCGUGUGAAUGACACAAAUUUAUAAGGAUUAAUUUCAAAUAUCAUAAAUAUUCUUCGAAUUUUUAAAAUUUUAUAAACACCCUUCUAAAUACAAUAUUUCUUUCAUAAAUAUCCUUAUCAUUAUUUUUUAAAAAGAUAUUCAUUUUCAGCCCUUCAUUUAUAUCCACAUAAUGGAUAAGAGAAUAAUAUCAGAAAAGAAUAAAAUUUGAUAUGAUUUUCAGAUAAUUUAAAUGACUUAGAUUAUAUUCAACGGUGUUGAUCGUCGAUUUGGAAGCCCUGCAUCGAAUAUAGAUCGAUAGUAAACCAAAUUGUAUACCAAUAAUAUUCUAGUUAAGCGUUCUCUCUCUCUCUCUCUCUCUCUCUCUCUCUCUCUCACACACACACACAAAACUAAUAAAAUUAUAUAGAUCUAUAUUAUUUUUUAUUAGCUUAAGCCUGUGAAAAAUAACAGUUGUUUUCUAUUCUAUACUUUUGCAACGACCCAACCCGCCAGUAAUAAUAACUCGUUGGGUCCAAAUCAUCGGCCCAAAAUACUUAAGCCCAGUUAUUAUUACUAGGAUGUAGUCCAUCCGAUAUGGGACUAUUGGGGGCAUUACAAACUCCUCUGUUUAGAUCCUGACGUCCUCGUCGGGUCCAAACCAGAUCACAGACAGACCAGGACUAUUACCAGACGAUGUGAGAUUCUAAAGGUGGCUCCUACGGGUUCAAGAGGUGGCUCCCAUCAAACCUAUUGGUGUAGCACUUUAUUCUCACACUUCCGGCUGGUAUUCGUUUCUGAUAUCAUUUGCAACAAUCCAACCCGCCAGCAAUAAUAACACGUCGGGUCCAAACCACCGGCCCAAAAUGCUUAAGUCCAGUUAUUAUUAUUAGGGUGUAGGUCUCAUAUAAAUUGAUCGGAAUCAGUAUCCCAUUCAAU